rnacentral:lncRNA from 1 species
UGUCACGCCCCAAAAUCCCAUCGGGCCGGACUGGCACCCGAAGCCGAGAAGGCCCGGGAGAACCCGUUCAAAUACCUGUACUUUCACUUACAUGUCACCAAAAAAAAUUGGACAGCACUUCGUUGCAUAUAGAAAGGUCUAAUUACCUGUAUCAGCACAACACGCGCAAAUAUAUAUAUAUAUAUAUAAUACUUGGCCGUCGGGGCCACCACAUAUACAGAUAUAACAUCACUAUAUAAACUUCCAUGACUUUACCCUUCCUUAUGUCUACAAAGCCUCUAGGAUAUACAUGACAUAACUAGGGUCGGGACAAACCCCUGCCCACACAUGACUCAUGUACAAUAACAAAACAUAAGGAACCGACUCGGAAAGCUCCGAAGCAAACUGGAGCUCACCAACAAUAGCUGUAUGACCUGGCUCCUACUUGUGCGGUGUAUGAGCUGAGGUACCUGUGCCUGCAGCAUGAAAUGCAGGUCCCCCGUGAGGGACGUCAGUACGAAAUAUGUACUGAGUAUGUAAAGCUGUAAAUAAUCACAUAUGAUAUAGGAGCUCAAUAGAAAUCAGAAACAAGUGAAUAAGUCGUAAUAGGAGUGGACCACACUUACUAGAACUUGUGACAACCUGUACAUUGUAUUUAUUCAAUCACUUUACCUUCGUUCUUAUCGUCUUUGUAAUCAUUACUGUACUGUACUGUGACCAUUAGGAUGCCUCCAGUACAUAUCAACUGGGAUCGACCCAUGCUAGGCUUAUGCCCCUGGGAUACCACCCAUAAACACAUGAAAUAGGGAUCGACCCAUGCUAGGCUUAUGCCCCUGGGAUACCACCCGAUAAGAGAGAACUUUCAUCACUUAGUUCAAUUAAUCUUUGAGAUUGUUAUUUCGGUCGCCACCACAUUUUUGAUACUUUGAAACAAUGAUACAUCAAUAGGAACCAAGUAAUAGACCUUCUAUACAAUAACGAUGUAAUAAAGACUCAUUGGUACAUCAACAAUGUGUUUCAGAAUCAUCAAUAUCACAACAAUGAAAUAAGAGCCUUUUGGUAUAUCAAUGAAACAUUUUGACACUUUAUAGAAUGGAAACAACUUCGUUGGUAACGUAGAACAAUACAUGUUUUUGGACAACCUCGGAAUCUUACUUGAUGGAACAUUGGUGUUUUCAUGCCAAAGAACAUUGUUAGAGUAUGCUUUACAUACCUCGUUGUAGAUUCAGAUACCAAUUCAACACAACUUCCCGCCUUUACAAAUCACUUAUCUACAAUGAAAUGUUUGGCAUCUAGUAUUAGCAACCCAACACCACAAUUCUCUUCCAUAAUUCCAUACUACCAAUAUUUGCAAAACAUUCCAAAAACCAACUUGAACAAUAGGUUUAUGUGUGUAUAUAUAUAUAAUCAUCAUUUCAAUACCACAUCAUCAAUACCACAUCAUCACCCCAAAUUCCUUCACAAUUUAACAUAAUCCAACCAUGCACAAGAAUAAUCCAACAUCAUUUCCAAUCAUCUUUCAACAACAAUCAAAUAACAUACUUCUUAUGCUCACAUGCAUAUAUAUAUAUAUAUACAUAUCCAUAUAAAUAACACCAACAUAAUUUACAUCCUUACCAAAAAAAUGGCCCUUUUGAUUUCGAAGUCCUGUUGGCACAAAUAAGGGGUGCUUCUCGAAGCCCUUGAGACGGUGAACACAACUACGGAAUCAAUUUGGAUUUUCUACGGUUGAAUCACAAGAUAAUUGGAGUUGAAAUUUGGCUAGGGUUUCUUAGUUUUCAAUAAUGGAUGAUAAAUAAUGGAUAUGAGGCUAAGUAUAUGUAUAUAAUGACCAAUUUUCGUUCAAGAGGUGAUGGAAAAUGACCAUAUUGCCCUUAAAAAUUUAAGUAAAUCCGAAUCUGUCCAUGGUGGACUGUUUUGAUAGGCUAAAGUAAAUCGGCCAUAACUCUUUGCUCCGAUAUCGGAUUUGGGUGAAAUUGGUAUCGUUAGAAAGAUAAUUCAAAGGUCUUUCAUUUAAUAUAAAUUAAUCCACCCAGUUCGUCCUGUACAAGUAGUUAUGAUCGUUUGAAGUUGACCCUAAAAAUCUGUUUUGAGAGGCUGAAGUAAAACGAGUAUAACUCCUUACUCAGAUGUUGGAUUUGGAUGAAACCAAUUUCAUUGGAAAGAAGACUCAAAGAUCUUUCUUUUGAUAUAUGGUAGCUCAACCAGUUCAUUAUAUUGAGGGAGUUAUGAUCGUUCAAAGUUGACCCAAAAAACUGGCAGGCCUCAGUAGUUUCCUGCACAUUUUACUGUUCACAUCCCGGCCACCGUUUUAAAGUUUCGAACGAGCUCGCUUAUAUCCGAAACUUAUCCGUUUUUGGAAAUCUUUAUAUCGUUGGAAAGCUUAUUCAAUAACCUUCGUAUGGAACCAUCGACGGGAAAAUUCCGAUAUAAAUAAAGUCGAUUCCUAUACACCUAUAAUCAAACUAUACACUUGAAACCAUCUCAAAAUAAUCAAUACUCAUACUUAAACUCAUAUAUACCUAACUUAGGAUCAAUACAUAUACCCCAACACAUAUAACAAUGACUAAUGCACGUAAUUAAGUACGGGGUGUUACAUCCUUCCCCCCUUAAGGACAUUCGUCCUCGAAUGUGAAUGUAGUUAUUUAGCCGAAACAAGUUCAAGUCCACCAUUAACAUUCACAUCAUCACAUAAAUACUAUGCAUAUAUAAACAAAAACUUACUUGUUAAUGUUCUAACUCCGUUUCUUGAACUUCCUCUUCAUCUUUGAACAAAUGAGGGUACUUAGAUUUCAUUGCUUCCUCAGCUUCCCAUGUAAUCUCUUCCCUUUGUUGAUUUCUCCAAAGUACCUUUACUGAUGCCAUUUCUUUGUUCCUUAACUUUUUAACUUGGCGAUCUAGAAUAGCAACCGGUACCUCUUCAUAAGUAAGAUCCUCUGUGACCUGUACAUCUUCUAUAGGAGUGAUACGAGAGGGGUCACCUAUGCAUUUUCGAAGCAUUGACACAUGAAACACUGGAUGAACCAUUGAAAGUUCCUGGGGUAGCUCUAAUUCAUAUGCAACUUGUCCGACCCUCUUGGUAAUCUUAUAUGGCCCUAUGUAACGUGGGCUUAGUUUCCCUUUUUUACCAAAUCUCAUAACCCCUUUCAUUGGUGAUACCUUUAAAAAUACCCAAUCUCCAAUAGAGAAUUCCAGCCCUCUUCUCCGAAUAUCUGCAUAUGAUUUAUGACGACUUUGGGCUGUUUUUAGCCGUUGUUGUAUCACCUUGACUUUUUCUAUGGCUUGAUACACAAGAUCCGGUCCGAACAUAAGAGUUUCACCCGCUUCGAACCAUCCUAUUGGUGAUCUACACUUUCUCCCAUAUAAAGCUUCAUAUGGUGCCAUUUUGAUACUUGAAUGAUAGCUAUUAUUGUAGGCAAACUCAAUAAGAGGUAAAUGAUCAUCCCAGCUGCCUUUAAAAUCUAUAACACAUGCUCGUAGCAUAUCUUCAAGUGUUUGAAUGGUGCGCUCUGCUUGUCCAUCCGUCUGAGGGUGAAAAGCUGUACUCAGAUUCACUUGUGUUCCCAAACCCCGUUGGAAAGACUUCCAAAAGUUUGCAGUAAAUUGAGUUCCCCGAUCCGAUAUAAUAGAAGUUGGCACUCCAUGUAAUCGGACUAUUUCUUUAACAUACAGCUUCGAAUAUUCUUCAACUGUGUAAGUGGUCUUAACGGGUAAGAAAUGUGCGGAUUUAGUAAGCCUAUCCACAAUCACCCAUAUAGAAUCAAAUUUUCGAGCUGUACGAGGCAAACCUGUAACAAAAUCCAUGUUGAUCAUGUCCCACUUCCAAAUUGGAAGAUCUAUGCAUUGCAUAUAGCCUCCGGGUUUUUGGUGCUCAACUUUAACUCUUUGACAAUUUGGACAUUCAGCUACAAAUUCUGCAAUGCUCUUCUUCAUGUCAUUCCACCAAUACAUAUCUUUCAAAUCUUGAUACAUUUUGGUUGAUCCUGGAUGAAUGGAAUACCUUGAAAAAUGUGCCUCUGUCAUAAUCUUCUUUCUUAGCCCGUCUAUAUCCGGCACACACAAUCGGUUUUGGCACUGAAGUACUCCUUCUCGCGUAAGCUCAAAUGCCUUGGUCGCACCACUCUGAACGUUCUCCUUAAGAUGUAAUAAAAUAGGAUCUGCAUAUUGCUUCUCUUUCACUUCAGCUACUAAUGAAGAUUCCGCAGCAUUAUGUACGAUAAGCUCUUUAUUCGGAGUUUCAAGAAGGCGAACUCCCAAACUAGCUAACUGGUGAAGAUCUUUAACCAUCCCUUGCCUUUCUAUAGGCGCCAUCAUAGCCUUACGACUUAACGCAUCAGCUACCACAUUUGCUUUCCCUGGAUGGUACAAGAUAUCAACAUCAUAGUCCUUUAAUAGUUCAAGCCAUCUCCGCUGCCUUAAAUUUAGAUCCUUCUGAUUAAAAAUAUAUUGCAAGCUCUUAUGGUCAGUAUAUAUAUCAACGUGAACCCCAUAUAAGUAGUGGCGCCAUAUCUUUAAAGCAAAAAUAACCGCUGCCAGCUCAAGAUCGUGUGUAGGAUAAUUUUUCUCAUGUGGCCGUAAUUGUCUAGAAGCAUAUGCUAUUACCUUACCAUGCUGCAUCAAUACACAUCCUAAACCAAUUCUGGAAGCAUCACAAUACACUGUAUACCCUUCGGUGCCUUCUGGUAGUACCAACACGGGUGUAGAAAUCAACUUGUUCUUUAAAUCUUGAAAACUCUUCUCACAGGCAUCAUUCCAUUGGAAUUUGGAUGCUUUAUGGGUUAGCUUGGUUAAGGGUGCUGAAAUGGAAGAAAAGUCUUUGACAAACCUUCUAUAAUAACCGGCCAACCCAAGAAAACUACGAAUCUCCGUAGGCGUUGUGGGCCUUGGCCAGUUCUUCACAGCCUCUAUCUUUUGAGCAUCAACCUUUAUCCCUUCACUAGAUACAAUAUGACCCAAAAAUGCCACCGACUUUAACCAAAACUCACAUUUAGAGAACUUUGCAUAAAGCUUACAAUCACGAAGAGUCUGCAAUGCCUGUCGUAAGUGAUUGGCAUGGUCCUCUUCUGAUCUAGAAUAAACUAGAAUAUCAUCUAUAAAAACUAUCACAAAUACAUCCAGGAAUGGCUUAAAAACCCUAUUCAUCAAAUCCAUAAAAGCUGCGGGUGCAUUUGUUAGCCCAAAUGACAUAACUAGAAACUCAUAAUGACCAUACCUUGUUCGGAAAGCUGUUUUGGGUAUAUCUUUUUCUUUGACCCUCACUUGGUGGUAACCUGACCUCAAAUCAAUCUUAGAAAAGCACUUGGCGCCCUGUAACUGAUCAAAUAAAUCAUCAAUUCUUGGGAGAGGAUAUUUAUUCUUAAUAGUCACCUUAUUCAAUUGCCGAUAAUCAAUACACAUCCUCAGCGAGCCAUCCUUUUUGCGUACAAAUAACACUGGUGCUCCCCAAGGGGAAAUACUAGGCCUAAUGAACCCCUUUUCUAGCAAAUCUUUCAAUUGCUCUUUCAAUUCUCGUAAUUCUGCUGGGGCCAUUCUAUACGGAGGAAUGGAGAUUGGUUGGGUGCCUGGUAUUACAUCAAUACCAAACUCUACUUCUCGUUCAGGAGGCAAACCUGGAAGAUCUUCAGGAAAUACAUCAGAAAAUUCAUUUACCACCGGAACAGCGUGAAGAGUUGGUGGCUCCGCUUCUGUAUCCCUUACUCUAACUAAAUGAUAUAUAUAUCCCUUGGAAAUCAUUCUUCUCGCCUUAAAAUAAGAAAUAAAUCUACCUCUUGGCACGCUAAUUUCACCUUUCCAUUCAAGGACUGAUUCAUUUGGAAAAUGGAAAUAUACCUUUUUCGUGCAGCAAUCAAUUGUGGCAUAACAAGACGCCAACCAGUCCAUACCCAUUAUAACAUCAAAAUCUACCAUUUCUAACUCCACAAGAUCAGCCAUCGUAUCACGACCACAAACAGUUACUAUGCAGUUUCGAUAAACCCUUCUAGCUAUAAUAGAUUCCCCGACCGGUGUGGACACUUCAAAUGGCUUAACUAACAGUUCGGGUAUUCUUUCGAACUUUCCAGCAACCAAUGGAGUAACAUAAGAUAAUGUAGAACCGGGAUCAAUUAAGGCAUAUAAAUUGAAUGAAAAUAUAGCCAACAUACCCGUAACCACAUCUGGAGAAGCCUCUAAAUUCUGUCGAUCUGCUAGAGCAUACGUACGAUUUUGAGCCCCGCUAGAACUCGUGGCUCCUCUAUCACCUCUAACACGACCCAUUGGCUGUGCACCCCUUCCUGAAUAAGGCAUCGAUGAUGAUGAUGCAACAAAUGACCCCGUAGGUCGUGCCAUACCCCCUAUGUCCCUUCGUGGGCAUUCCCUCAUCAUAUGCCCCGACAUACCGCACCAAAAGCAAACAUUGGUCCCCAGCCGACAUGCGCCCAAAUGAUACCUUCCACAUUUAUUGCAUGGCUCUCGAGGAGGUCUUGAUUGGCUCAUAUUCCCUUGACCUUGGUACCCCACUGUCCGCGAACUCUGACUCUCACUUCUGUGCCCAAAUUGAUUUCCUCUGAACCCUUGGAACUGUGGUGGGGCACUAGCUGUAGAAUAAGAGGAUAAUGGCCUAGGUGGUCUAGCAGAAAACUGUGGUCUGAACCCUCUUUCGAAUGCCAUGAACUGCCCUGUAGAUCUGGCCCUCUUGGAAUAUCCUCUUUCUGAUUCCUGUGUUCUUCUCCUCUGCCUCUGAUCUUCCAUUUUUUGUGCAAAAGCUUGGAUUCUCGCUAUGUCCAUAUCUUUGUUCAAAGCAGCAAUAGUACAAUCUCUAACCAGAUAUGGAUCUAGCCUAUCCACAUAUUGAUGAACUCUGUCAACCAUAGUAGCUACAACAUUAGGAGCAUAUCUCGACAAGGAAUUAAAUCGAAGACUGUACUCCCUCACGCUCAUAUUCCCCUGACGAAGAUUUAAAAACUGAUCUGCACGGGCCUGACGAAUCUCGAAUGGAAGAUAAUGAUCAAGAAAUGCCUCUUUGAACUCCUUCCAAGUAGCUGGGGGUGCAUCAAUACCCCUAGAUCGUUUCCAGUCCUCAUACCAAUAUAUAGCCUCCCCUUUAAAUCUAUACGCCGCUAACUCCACUGUCUCUCUACCCGUUACAUGCAUAACAUCCAAGGCCCUUUGAAUUUGAUCGAUAAAGUCCUGUGGGUCCUCGUUAAGAUCUGAUCCAGUAAAAGUGGGAGGAUCCAUCUUAAGAAAAUCCUGUGUUCGAAGGCUAGCCGCCCUAUCUAUACCACUAGGACCUGCAGUAGGAAUGGCUUGCCCUUGAGCUUGCCCAGCAACUAUACGAGUCAAAAGUUGCACUGCAUUUCUAAGAUCUUGAUCAACAACAUUAAUAGGUGGCUCUGCGGAUAUAGUUCUCCUCCCCCUUAUUUCUUCCGGACUGGAGGAAGUUUCUGAUGCAUGCUCAGCUGGAGCCUCACUUUGAUUAGCUGGUAUAGUGGGUGACUUACUAGUCCCCUCUCCGGCAGCCACAUCUACUUGCUUACCGGUAUUCUUGCUUCUGGUAACCGGCAUCAUUACUAUAAUAAGAGAAACAAACUGAUUCAGUGGUCAACUAUGACUUCAUAUACAAUAUAAGCUCUAUCGCACGAUCUAAGACAUGAAGAAAAGAAACAAUUCCUAAAUGUCCAUAGCCUCCUGUUUAUAGAUGUGGUGCACAACACACCGAUAAACAAGACCCUACGUAGACACGGCUUUGUAGACUCACUAGGACGAACCUCUCUGAUACCACUUUUGUCACGCCCCAAAAUCCCAUCGGGCCGGACUGGCACCCGAAGCCGAGAAGGCCCGGGAGAACCCGUUCAAAUACCUGUACUUUCACUUACAUGUCACCAAAAAAAUUGGACAGCACUUCGUUGCAUAUAGAAAGGUCUAAUUACCUGUAUCAGCACAACACGCACAAAUAUAUAUAUAUAAUACUUGGCCGUCGGGGCCACCACAUAUACAAAUAUAACGUUACUAUAUAAACUUCCAUGACUUUACCCUUCCUUAUGUC